rnacentral:rRNA from 1 species
CAUGAAGUCGGAAUUGCUAGUAAUCGCGGAUCAGCAUGCCGCGGUGAAUACGUUCCCGGGCCUUGUACACACCGCCCGUCACACCAUGAGAGCCGGUAACACCCGAAGUCUGUAGUCUAACCGCAAGGAGGACGCAGUCGAAGGUGGGAUUGAUGACUGGGGUGAAGUCGUAACAAGGUAAC